rnacentral:rRNA from 1 species
CAGUCGCCACGGUAAUACAGAGGGUGCGAGCGUUAAUCGGAUUUACUGGGCGUAAAGCGUGCGUAGGCGGCUAAUUGAGUCGGAUGUGAAAUCCCCGAGCUUAACUUGGGAAUUGCAUUCGAUACUGGUUAGCUAGAGUGUGGGAGAGGAUGGUAGAAUUCCAGGUGUAGCGGUGAAAUGCGUAGAGAUCUGGAGGAAUACCGAUGGCGAAGGCAGCCAUCUGGCCUAACACUGACGCUGAGGUACGAAAGCAUGGGGAGCAAACAGGAUUAGAUACCCCUGUAGUCCCUGUCUCUUAUAC